rnacentral:rRNA from 1 species
GACAGAGGGUGCAAACGUUGUUCGGAAUUACUGGGCGUAAAGCGCGUGUAGGCGGCUGUGCAAGUCGGAUGUGAAAUCCCGUGGCUCAACCACGGAAGUGCACCCGAAACUGCGCAGCUGGAGUCUCGGAGAGGAAGGUGGAAUGCUUGGUGUAGAGGUGAAAUUCGUAGAUAUCAAGCGGAACACCGGUGGCGAAGGCGGCCUUCUGGACGAUGACAGACGCUGAGACGCGAAAGCGUGGGGAGCAAACAGG